AACAAGGUUUCCGUAGGUGAACCUGCGGAAGGAUCAUUAAAGAGAGGGGCCUCGCGCUCCUGGGGACUCCGGUCCCCGCCUCUUCACCCGGUGAACACCUUUCUCCUUGUUGCUUUGGCGGGAAGUCGGCCUGACUCAGUCGGCGAACAACCCCGCCAGCAGCCCACGAAAAUGCAUCUUAUUUAUGCCCGUCCGAGUAUUAUUUCAAAUGAAUCAAAACUUUCAACAACGGAUCUCUUGGUUCUGGCAUCGAUGAAGAACGCAGCGAAAUGCGACAAGUAAUGUGAAUUGCAGAAUUCAGUGAAUCAUCGAAUCUUUGAACGCACAUUGCGCCCCUCGGUAUUCCGGGGGGCAUGCCUGUUCGAGCGUCAUUGCACCAUUCAAGCGUAGCUUGGUAUUGGGUUUUUCGCCGGGGGGUCUCCCCCCGGCGUGCCCGAAAAGCAUUGGCGGUCCGGUGCGACUUUAAGCGUAGUAAAUAUUCUCCCGCUUUGAAAGCCUCGCGCUGUGGCCGGCCAGACAACCUCCCAAUAUCUCACGAUUGACCUCGGAUCAGGUAGGGAUACCCGCUGAACUUAAGCAUAUCAAUAA
rnacentral:rRNA from 1 species